rnacentral:rRNA from 1 species
UACGUAGGGGGCUAGCGUUGUUCGGAAUUACUGGGCGUAAAGCGCACGUAGGCGGCUUUGUAAGUCAGGGGUGAAAGCCCGGGGCUCAACCCCGGGAGGCGGAUGGAUACUGUCAAGCUCGAGUCCGGAAGAGGCGAGUGGAAUUCCAGGUGUAGCGGUGAAAUGCGCAGAUAUCUGGAGGAACACCAAUGGCGAAGGCAGCUCGCUGGGCCGGUACUGACGCUGAGACGCGAAAGCGUGGGGAGCAAACAGG